rnacentral:tRNA from 1 species
GCAGCCGUGGCCUACUGGUUAGGGCUUCAGGCUCGUAACCAAAGUGUUGCUGGUUCGAUCCCUGACCAGUAGAA